UGUAAUUACUUUUAAAAGAUUGAUAUUUAUGUUAUUUAUCCGACAAUUAAAACCAUCAGCAGGCCCAAAUCCGCCUUAACAGGCCCAAAAAUUAAACUUGCCCACUUUUUCCUUGUUAUUUUAGCAACCCAUUAACAUCAAUUGCAAACUGCAGCCCAAAAAUGUGGCCCAACACUACACCAGCUGAUCCGUCCCAACUUCCUAUUCCCUUUCUCCUUUAAACAACAACAACGUACCACUCCAAAAUACAACCAGCGUACAACCAAUACGCACAACCAACCCAACCAUCACUCGACAACCCGACCUUAUACCCGUCCACCAUCUUCAACCCGACCCACGAGCCCAGAAACCCGAGGGUCCGAACCAGCCUCACACUCACCAGCAAAGCUCGACCCGAGUUCAAUCCAAAACUAACGACCCAAACUGCCAUGAGUCCAAAAAUGCUAGAACCUUCUAGAAAUUGCUUAGGUGGAUUGAUCUGUGCAUUCAAUGGAUGAUUGUACGAUUCCGUACAAAUCCAUCUCACAGCCUUAUCCCAUUGCAAAAAAUUCAAAAAUUUUCAAAACGGGCUUUCCAAAACGCCCCUAAAAAUCAGAAUCCCACAUCGGUGGAAAAUGGAAUUGGGUUACCAAAAAUUUAUCCUAUAAAUAGCUCAUUUAGGAGCAAAAAGAAGCAAGUCUUGAAGGUGGAAAAUCUACUUUCAAGCAACGAGUAUAUUUCUUUAGUAAAAAUUUAUUCCCGAAGGAGUCAACUAUUUUGACGUUUUCAGAGUCGUUGUGAAGCUUUUCCGGUAGUGGUGAGAAAACUCUGUCGAAAGCUCGUUGUUCCAUUUUGCUGCUCCAAAACAGAUGCUCGUGUCUUAUGGUAUUUGGGAUAUUACAAGCGAUCCUUAAUGAUUUGUGAGUAUAGAAAUUUGGAUAUCAGUUUAACCUAUUUCACUAAAAUGGUCGUAGAAUUUGCUUGAAAUAAUUAUUGUUGUGUUAUUCAUCGAGCUAAUGCUUAUACCAUAAUUUCUCUUCAUUAUUAAUCUCAUAGUUUUCGAUUCUAUUGCCUUGAGUUCGGCGCGUCAUGUUGAUACCUUUGAAUCUCAGCAUAUGUUAUGAAAUCUUUGUCUUUUAGUUCCCUGUUUAAGUUUGUAGUUUUUUUUGGUUAUUUCGGGUGUCACUGUUACUUUAUGAUGCUGUCUAUGAGUCUAUUACAUUGUCCUUAUCAAUUACUUUAUGAUGUUAUCUAUGAUCUUCUUCUGAUUUGUCGAAACAUUAAAUGACUAGUAGUUAAAUGUGUUCUUUAGUUUUCCGUGUCUAUCUCAUGUCGCCCCUUUUUAAGCUUUAGGCUGCUCUCGAUUCAUUAGAUGUUAUGCUCGAUUGUUUUGUUCUCCCAGUUUUCUCACUAUAAGAUGUUGGUGCACUAUAUUCUAUGUUUCGUUUGGGAUAUCACUUGCGAAGAAUAAUACUUCCUUCUGUUCUUUCCUUUUUUAUCGAUAUAUGUGAAUUUUCUGGUUUUCUUAAUUGAUCUCAUUGUUAGCCAGAAUAGUUUUUAGCAUUAGGUGUAAGGUAUUAAGCCUAUUUCCUACCAUUAUUUAAUUAGCUUCAUACAAGAGUAUUGAUGAUAUGCGUUGCUGAAAAACUCCUCUUUUAAAUAAUGUUCAUUCGUAAUAAUGUUUAUAUUUGGUAGCUUUCCCUUCUGUGGAAUAUAGUCUUUGAUUAAUCAGGCCAUAAGAUUCUAUCCAGGCACCUCAUGAUUAUUCCUUCCAACCUUGUAUAUUUUCUUCUUUCUCAACUUUGUUUGAAUGUUCUCUAUUGCUUCCUAUUUGAUCUUUGUAGGCAAAUUUAAUUUGAGUUUCUUCAUUAUCUUAAUUGUUUUUUUCUGUUGCUACAUUAAUUCCAUUUAUCUUUCUUUUGCAUAUGAAUCUAUUGUGGAGUCUAAAUGGACUCUUUCCCCUUUGCAUUUCGGAAGGGGCCAAUGAGGUCUAUCCUUUGAGUCCAUCCCAAAGGGCUAAGGUCAAAUUUGGUUGCAUGGCAUAUGGAUAUGAGGAGUCAAAGGAAGAAAAAUGGACUAAAGCCUCGUAUUUGAAGCAACUAAGUGACUUAAAAGUCUCAUUUAUUUGCUUAUUUAGUUAUUUAUCGUUGUCUCGUGUACUCAUUUAUUUGUCGUCUUAUUUCUCUAUUUCAUUCAUUUAAGCCUCGAAGUCAAAGUUGUAAAUUUAAUACAGGUGGUGAGGAUGCUGGCCCAAAAAGGCUCGAAAAUUAGAUUAGGAUAGGUGAAAUGGAUCGAAAGCUCAAUUAGACUAGGACAUGUCUCGUUGAUUUGGGCCCAAUGGCCUAAAUCUUUUGCUUUCUCCUCA